rnacentral:rRNA from 1 species
GAUGAACGCUGGCGGCGUGCCUAAUACAUGCAAGUCGAGCGAACGGACGAGAAGCUUGCUUCUCUGAUGUUAGCGGCGGACGGGUGAGUAACACGUGGAUAACCUACCUAUAAGACUGGGAUAACUUCGGGAAACCGGAGCUAAUACCGGAUAAUAUUUUGAACCGCAUGGUUCAAAAGUGAAAGACGGUCUUGCUGUCACCUAUAGAUGGAUCCGCGCUGCAUUAGCUAGUUGGUGAGGUAACGGCUUACCAAGGCAACGAUGCAUAGCCGACCUGAGAGGGUGAUCGGCCACACUGGAACUGAGACACGGUCCAGACUCCUACGGGAGGCAGCAGUAGGGAAUCUUCCGCAAUGGGCGAAAGCCUGACGGAGCAACGCCGCGUGAGUGAUGAAGGUCUUCGGAUCGUAAAACUCUGUUAUUAGGGAAGAACAUAUGUGUAAGUAACUGUGAACAUCUUGACGGUACCUAAUCAGAAAGCCACGGCUAACUACGAG